rnacentral:lncRNA from 10 species
CUGUUUUGCACAAAUGGGGAAAUAGGCCAGAGGGGCCCCAAGGCCCCUGUCAAGUUUUCAGAGUUUAGCCUAGAAACCUGACCCCAGGGUCCUUGCCCAGGACUCUGUCCAAGAUGGUGGGCUGCAUCUGAGAGGGUCCUGCACCACAAGGAAUGCUUAUCCUGACCCCAAGAAGCUGAGGCUGGGAAUGGAUGCCAUGGUUGAUCUGGUGUGACCUCAGGCCUUUCUCAAUCUUGGGCUGUCACCUUCCUCUUCUAUAAGGUGCUUCCCGUCUAAAUUCUCCUGGAACCAAUUUCUCUCUGUCCAAGUUCCCCAAGGAAUCAAGUCUGCGAGCCAUUGGGGCUGAGGGAUCUCUGUUCUUUGGAGGAACAGCGCUCUCCAUCUUAGAUUUGCCAGUGUUCAGUAUGCAUUAAGUGUUCAAUAAAUGUGUGUCCACUUGAGUCUGAGGCUGUGUGUUUAUUCUCUGAUGCAUCUGGUGGAAGUCUCUUUUCUUGGACUGUUUGCCCCAGCUGGGGUGCUCUCCUCUUGAUUCUGUUUCUCCAGUCCAGUCAGCUGUCCCUCAGGACUUGUGAGUUUUGCCCCCUUCAGGGAGCCCUCAUGGCUUCCCUCUCCAUCCUUUGAACUUCACUGAUCAAUUAGAGGGCUAAGACUCCCCUGAUCUUCUUGACUGUCAGCAGCUAGGGCUCAGGUCUGGUCUAAUUUCUUAGGGAUCAGUACAGAGAAGGCACCAGGGAAUAUUUGCUGACUGAAAUAAUGAUUUAAAAAUCUGUGACUCGAGCCUCUCAUCCCUAUGAGGCAAGCUCGGUGAGGACCCCUCAUCUACACUUCAUACCAGGAGAUAGCUGCUCAGAAAUGUUAAGUGCUUUCCCCAAGGUUGCACACCUGACUGGGACCUGAGCCAGAUAGAAGCUCGGGUUUCUUGCCCAUCUCCUUUGCCGCAGCCCCCCCUCAUCCUAGGAUCCCUCUCUCCUGGGAGUGUGGCUGGGUCAGAUCCCAGGGGAGCCUGUGGGCAAAGAGCUCACGCCCUCAGGGUUUCCUUAGGACUCGGAAGAAGCGAGGCACCCCUCGCCACCCAAGCAGAGUGAUCAUCUGCCCUUUGCCCAGAUGAGUACCCCUCAUGUCAGCCACACUGGAUCUUCACGCUUGCUUGAAUUUAUUACUCCACUAGGUCCCAGAGCCCUUCUCUUAGUAUUCCAAGGUGUUGUCUCUACCUGAGCCUCUAGUGCCUUCGCUGGGCCUUUUCUGCUGGCACAGACCCUGCUGUUGAUCAGCUCCACUAAGCCUUGGUAGGGAGCACAGAGUGUGAUGACGUCCCUGAGAUCACCCAGCAGGUAGCCCCUUCUCCAGCUCUGUUUUGUCAUCAGAGGUGUGUCAAUAUUAUUAAAGUCCUUGGACACACCUCAGUUUCCCUGUCUGCAAAAAAGUGUGUGUGGAUGGGAUGGUCCUGGGGGGCCUAGUAGUCUUGUGCCCCUUGGCAUUUUAGGGAUGGGGGUCAGGGAGGGGAAGGUCAUACUGGGAUUUGCCCAAGUUGGUGCCCCCACCUUCUCAAUAUAUGACCUUGAACUUGGUACCACCCCAAUUAAGGCCUUGGUUGCCCGACUAGAAAGUGGUAGGGGUGGCUGGGUGUGGUGCCUCAUGCCUGUAAUCCCAGAACUUUGGGAGGCCGAGGUGGGCAGAUCACAAGGUCAGGAGAUUGAGGCCAUCCUGGCGAACAUGGUGAAACCCCGUCUCUACUAAAAAUACAAAAAAGAAUUAGCCGGGCGUGGUGGUGGGCACCUGUAGUCCCAGCUACUCAGGGGGGCUGAGGAAGAAAGUGGUAGGGGUGGUCUGGGGUCCUUCUGGAGCGGAUGCUGUAGCAUCCUGAGAUCCAGGCUCCCUUUGUCCUCUGUCCCAGCAGCCCUCCUGCUGCCUUCCCAUCCCUCUGUUCCCCCCUCCUCCAAGGCAAAUGGAGGAGCAGCAGGCGGCCUGACGUGAUGAACUCAGCCACGAGGUAGUGGGGGAGGCCCCAGCUUCUCUCCUCUUGCUUGGCUUCCUUGCCAGCAGGGACGGGAGACUUCACUGUGGGCCUUGCCAUUCCCAUUUCUCACUCCCCCUCCCCUCCCCCACUGCUGUGAGACACAGGAAAAUCCAUAGGCCCAAGAUUCAUUUUCUCCGUUGAGUCAGCAGAGGCCAGCGCUGCUUCUGAGGGGCAGGCAACUGGCUUUUAAAUAACUCUCUGAUAUUUAAUACCCUCCUCCUCCGCUCUGUGGCCUGGGCCUCUGGGGAAAGGCUAGAAUAAAUGAGCUGGAUGCGUCCUCCGAAAGUCCUAAAUGUUCUUACCCCCACCUCAGUCUUCCCCCCAACCCCCAACUCUCAGACCAUUGGAAAAGAUGACUCCUUACUACAUCUGUACCUUGCUUUACAGUUUCUAAGUGGUGGCAGGCUGGGUUUGUUGUCCCAGUUUAGAAUGGGAAAUGGACAUUUAGAAAAGGAGAGAGAUCCCACUUGACUUUUGGUCUUUGUCUGCUGUUGGCUGGCUGUGUGGCUGUGGGCAGGUGGGUCCCUGUCCCUCCCUGGGCUUCUGUUUCCUCAUCUGUGCUGCAAGGUGGUUCGGCCAGUGGGUUGUUGUUGGUCCCCCUUGGCUGUGUAAUGUUAUGAUUUGCUGUGCUGGCCUAGGUCUCCUUCCCUAAUGAAGCCUCUGUUUCUCCACUCCUCUUCAAGGAAAGGCUAAAGGGCAGAGCCGACUGAGGCUAAAGGCCAGCUAAGGUCUGACCCCUAGGAUUCCACUCUGUUGAGUCAGGGACAGGAGUGGGUAGGGGAGAGGGGAAAGGGAAAGGAGCAGAGUUGGGUGCCUUCCCUUCCCUUCCCUUGUCUUCCCUUCCCUCCCCUCCACUCCCCUCCCCUUUCAUUAUUUCUUGCUUUUGCCAGUAGAGGUUGGGACAGACCAAGGGCAAUAACCUGUCUUGGUUCUCUUAAAACCCAAGGUCUCUACCACUGUGGAUGCAGUUUAAUGAGGUGGGAGCAAAACCCUCUUCCUCAGCUGUGCCCAGGCCCAGGAUCCUGAUCAUGGAAGUUAGUGGGCCCAGUUCUCCUGGUUUUGCCACUGUUCUGCAUUAUUCAGAAGACAGGGAUUGAUAUCUCUGUUGGCUAUAUGAGAACACUGGGAGGUUAAGAGCUGUGCUUGGGGUCAUCCCAGAUUAAUGAUGGAACAGGGCCUAUAAUCUAGGUUUUCUGAUUCCCAACUCCGUGUUCAUGCCACUUCCCUGAUUCAGGCAGGAAGUUGGGGCCUGAGGGGUGAGCAUGGGAGAGGCAGCUGGUUCUGUAGGGGUGACCUUUGUUUGCCCAACUUCUUUAGCCUCCUCUUGGGUCCUCAUGCUCUUCUUCAAUGUACUGAGCCUUCUGCUUCUAGAAUCACAGAAUCUUGGAAUCAAAACAUUGACUGCUAAGAACCACAGACUCAGAGAGCCAUAGAACUGUGGUCUCUGAAUUAGAACAAAGACUUAUGGUAUUGGUAGUAUGGUGGUGGUGAAUGAGACACUUAGAGCUUGUGGUAGGUUGUUAAUAUUGAUGGUCCCAAAUGAAUUCUGCGUAUCUGAGUCCAUACUUUUAUGUUGUCCCACCCCAUACUGACUUUGGGUUGGCCGUGUGACUUCCUCUGGUUAAUGAGACGUCAGCAAAUGUGAUGCAAGGAGAGUCUUAAAAAGUGCUUGUGCAUUGGGAUUCACCUCUUCUUGCUCCCCUGAAACUGCCAUGUGUAGGAACACAAGCAUGCCUUUUAGAGGAAGAGACCAGAAGUAAACCAUCCCAGCUGGAGAUGAACCAGCUCCCUGAUGGUCUUCCGCCUGCCUCCAGCCACCUGAGUGACCCCAGAUAAGACCAACAGAACUACUCAGCUGACCCGAGCCCAAAUUUCUGACUCACAGAAUUGUGAACAAAUAAAAUGGUGGUUGUUUUAAGUCACUAAGUUUUGGGGUGGUUUGUUACACAGCAGUAGAUAACGGAUGCAGAACCUCAUCAUUGUAGAAUCUUGGUCAUAGAUCCAAUAUGCCCUGACAGUCACAGCAUCGUGGAACCCCAGGACCAGAAACUGGAACCACUGAUGUAGAAUCCAAGAAACAGAAGAGUCCUGAAAACGCCUUAACUCCCACCCAAUGGUACCCUCUCCUUUCACUGUCAGACCAGGUGACCACUCAUCUUUCAACGUUGAGCCCUCUCCCCACCCACAGGUGUCUCUUAUUCUUUAGCGUUG